rnacentral:rRNA from 1 species
AUGUCCAGGGCCACGGCUACGCCAACUACUUUAAGCCACCCAAGCACAAUUUUCCUCGUUUCUCAGGCGAAAACCCCAGGCUCUUUCGACCUCGCUGUUACCUACUUUGACAUGUACCAUAUUCCUGUGCAUCAGUGGGUUUCCACAGCCACUCUGUACUUGGAUGGGCAUGCCGCACUGUGGUGCCAGGCGUUCAAACGUCGGCGGCGUAAUUGGCACUGGAAUGAGUUUACUAGCGAGAUUGAAUUGGAGUUUGGUCACGGUGAAUUUGAGUCUCACAUGACAAAUAUUCUGAAACUGAAACAACAGGGCACAGUUCUGGAGUAUAAAACUGAAUUUGAGAUAGCCAUGUAUCACCUGAUUGCUAUCGAUCCUUCUCUGAACUCAAAAAAUUUCAUCUCAGUUUUUGUUGGGCCUCAAGGAUGA